UACCAGCACCCCGAGUGGUCGGGACGAUUAUUGGGCCUAAAGCAUCCGUAGCCGGUUCUGCAAGUCCCCCGUUAAAUCCAGCUGCUCAACAGAUGGGCCGCGGAGGAUACUACAGAGCUAGGAGGCAGGAGAGGCAAGCGGUACUCAGUGGGUAGGGGUAAAAUCCGUUGAUCCAUUGAAGACCACCAGUGGCGAAGGCGGCUUGCCAGAAUGCGCUCGACGGUGAGGGAUGAAAGCUGGGGGAGCAACGG
rnacentral:rRNA from 1 species